rnacentral:rRNA from 1 species
AAGGACAUGUGGAGCGCUUAGAAGUGAGAAUGCCGGUGUGAGUAGCGAAAGACGGGUGAGAAUCCCGUCCACCGAUUGACUAAGGUUUCCAGAGGAAGGCUCGUCCGCUCUGGGUUAGUCGGGUCCUAAGCUGAGGCCGACAGGCGUAGGCGAUGGAUAACAGGUUGAUAUUCCUGUACCACCUAUAAUCGUUUUAAUCGAUGGGGGGACGCAGUAGGAUAGGCGAAGCGUGCGAUUGGAUUGCACGUCUAAGCAGUAAGGCUGAGUAUUAGGCAAAUCCGGUACUCGUUAAGGCUGAGCUGUGAUGGGGAGAAGACAUUGUGUCUUCGAGUCGUUGAUUUCACACUGCCGAGAAAAGCCUCUAGAUAGAAAAUAGGUGCCCGUACCGCAAACCGACACAGGUAGUCAAGAUGAGAAUUCUAAGGUGAGCGAGCGAACUCUCGUUAAGGAACUCGGCAAAAUGACCCCGUAACUUCGGGAGAAGGGGUGCUCUUUAGGGUUAACGCCCAGAAGAGCCGCAGUGAAUAGGCCCAAGCGACUGUUUAUCAAAAACACAGGUCUCUGCUAAACCGUAAGGUGAUGUAUAGGGGCUGACGCCUGCCCGGUGCUGGAAGGUUAAGAGGAGUGGUUAGCUUCUGCGAAGCUACGAAUCGAAGCCCCAGUAAACGGCGGCCGUAACUAUAACGGUCCUAAGGUAGCGAAAUUCCUUGUCGGGUAAGUUCCGACCCGCACGAAAGGCGUAACGAUUUGGGCACUGUCUCAACGAGAGACUCGGUGAAAUCAUAGUACCUGUGAAGAUGCAGGUUACCCGCGACAGGACGGAAAGACCCCGUGGAGCUUUACUGUAGCCUGAUAUUGAAAUUCGGCACAGCUUGUACAGGAUAGGUAGGAGCCUUUGAAACGUGAGCGCUAGCUUACGUGGAGGCGCUGGUGGGAUACUACCCUAGCUGUGUUGGCUUUCUAACCCGCACCACUUAUCGUGGUGGGAGACAGUGUCAGGCGGGCAGUUUGACUGGGGCGGUCGCCUCCUAAAAGGUAACGGAGGCGCUCAAAGGUUUCCUCAGAAUGGUUGGAAAUCAUUCAUAGAGUGUAAAGGCAUAAGGGAGCUUGACUGCGAGACCUACAAGUCGAGCAGGGUCGAAAGACGGACUUAGUGAUCCGGUGGUUCCGCAUGGAAGGGCCAUCGCUCAACGGAUAAAAGCUACCCCGGGGAUAACAGGCUUAUCUCCCCCAAGAGUUCACAUCGACGGGGAGGUUUGGCACCUCGAUGUCGGCUCAUCGCAUCCUGGGGCUGUAGUCGGUCCCAAGGGUUGGGCUGUUCGCCCAUUAAAGCGGUACGCGAGCUGGGUUCAGAACGUCGUGAGACAGUUCGGUCCCUAUCCGUCGUGGGCGUAGGAAAUUUGAGAGGAGCUGUCCUUAGUACGAGAGGACCGGGAUGGACAUACCUCUGGUGUACCAGUUGUCGUGCCAACGGCAUAGCUGGGUAGCUAUGUGUGGACGGGAUAAGUGCUGAAAGCAUCUAAGCAUGAAGCCCCCCUCAAGAUGAGAUUUCCCAACUUCGGUUAU